rnacentral:sRNA from 1 species
GACCACCCGGAGACGGGUUAAGGCCAUACGGACAGCCGGGUCAACUGCCGA